CUCUGUUCUACUUGACCAAUCGGCUUGAUAUUGUCAGCCUUGCUUUCACUUCCGAAACCGACCAAGCGCACUCUGCAGUUCUUUAAUUUUGGCAUACACAGUUCGUCGUAAAAGUCUUCGCGCAAAAUAUUGAAUUUACUACCAGUGUCAAAUAGUGCCAUACAUUUCAUAUUUUUAAUCGAAACUUCUUUGGAUGUCAAUUCCGCUCUAUUCAAAAUUACACGCAAGUUUUGUUUUUCUUCGUUUGCCUUCUCACUUUUCUCCUUGCAAUUCUUUGAAAUGUGCCCAAACUGAUUGCACUUGAAGCACUUUUUCCCCUUCUCUUUGCUCGAGCAACUGCUAGACACAUGACCCUUCUCUCCGCAGUUGUAACACACGACGUCUUUUUUGCCAGUCUGGGUAUAAUUUUGUCCAACCGAC
rnacentral:lncRNA from 1 species